GAAACUAGAAGAGACCCACACGGCCACACCAUUCCCCCCUCUCUCUCUCUCUUAUCUCUUUCGUCUAGAGAAGCUCGGCCACUGUUUUCCCCAAUCCACAACACUGCUCCGGCCGAGCGAAAUCCAGGUACACUCCGCUGCUCCGGCCAAAUUCGCUCGCCCCGAACUGCUCUGGCGAUUCCCUCCCUCUAUAUCCCUGCCUCUCUGCGCGCUGCUUCUUAUCCAUCCCCGUGCGGCCGUGCCCCAUGGCUUCUACCGGCAGCUGCAAGGGAUGGCCGGAGAGCGCACUGCUGCGGGAGCCGACCGAAUACGCCGCUGCUGCACCGCCACAUGCCUCUGGCUGCUAGUAGCAGGGAGACGACGAACUACACAAGCAGCAGAGCAACGACGAAAUCGACGAGCCUGACGACAACGGCAAGCUGGAGUCUCCCCCGACGAGCUCGACGAGGAAUAGGACGACGGUGAUGUCCCGGAGCAGCACGGUCGACCUCGGCGCCCUCCUGCCCGGCGUAGCCCCACUAGCAAAACCCAAGAUGAUGUCCAACCAAGUUUGUGUAUCCACAUUGCUUCUGAUGGCAUUGAAAGCUUCUACAAAGGCUUCCUCUUCCUCAUACUUGUACAUGCAAGCACUAAAUCAGCAAGUACAUUUGGUCCCUCCUCGUCUUUUUUCUUAUGAGCUUCACCAUACAUCAAGUCCCUUUGACGCCUGGUUCGCAAGUGGUUCUUGCGAUCACGACAUGUGUAGCCAAGGUUCAGUGGACCACCAACUUGUCGACUUGCUAACUCAUGGGCUCUUUUAGGUACAAUUCCUGAAUCAUCUGCUGUUUCAAUUUCAAAUGCUUGCAAUGCCGAAAUCUUCCGUUGUGACGGCAUCAAGUGGCUUGUCCCAGGUAAUUGCAAGACAUGGUUGUGUUCAACAACUAACUCGUGCACCUCAUAAUUUUCUGCUUCUCGGACUAUAGUGAUUCCCAUUCGAACAUUGCAGCCGGUCCUUGUUUCUGCACGAGGACGCUUUGUAUUAUUAUCCCUUUUGUCCUUUCUUCUGUAGCCUUCAUUAGAACAAACAUAUCUUGCAGAAGUGAUUACUCCGUCAAGUUUGCUCUUGUUUUCAUAAUUUACCCUUACAUCAAAACCAGUAUGACCUCCAUAACAUGUCCAAAAGUUCCAAGCCUCUUUUGUGGAAUUAAACUUCAUACCAAUCUGAGGCAUCCAACUAGGAACCACAUUUGUCCUGCACAAAUUAAGCAUAACUUAUUUGUUUCUCUGCUUACACUACAAUCAUAAGAUGACAUGGCCUAAUAAGAAUUGAAUAAAAUUAUUGGUACCUGUUAGAACCUUCGUUGGUGGAGUUAAUCAUAUUCUCCAUUACACUUUGUGUUUUUUCUUUUAUAAUCUAUGAUAGCAAACUCAGUCCAUGAGAUCUUUGUUGCUGCCAACAUGAAUACAAUUGAAACAUAUGUCAUAUACUUUGAGAUUGACGUCUUUAUUUUUGUUGCUACCAUGUACUCCCUCCGUUCCAAAUUACUCCCGCGACAAGUAAUUUGGAACGGAGGGAGUACAUCACAGGCACCUGUAUAUCAUCUACAACUCAAUAUAUCUUGUUCUUGUCCUAGCUACAAGGAGGACGAUCAGGACAAAAGUAAGAUAGAAGGGAAAUCAUCUACAACAGGCACACACCAACGUACCUUGGUCUUGUUCUCGCUAGAGAGGACGAGUGGGAGGAACAAGGGAGACGAGCAGGAGGAGGCGCCGAGGAAAUUGUCAACACGUUCUGAUUGGCCACAACGUUAGUUCAGCAGAAGCGAGAUCUCUACAACACGUUCAGAUCAGCAUACCUUGGUCUCAUUUUUUCUCCGAGGAGGACCAUCAGGAGGAAGAGGACGAGUGGGAGGAUUUUGGCACCAAGAAACUAUCAGCUCGCUCUGUUUGGCGCCAGCGUUUAUGUGUUUGGCGGCAAUUGUACAACCGUGGGAGAUUUUCCUCCGGACUAAUAGGGAUUUUUGUUCUAAUUAUUCAUAGAAUUAAGGGGGGAGAAAGAAGAGCCAUCCGAUUAAAAUAGACGGCAGAUGCUAGACGCUACAGCACGUGUACAGAGGAGCUGAACCCCCCACGAAGCGGCGCUUCAUGUACUACUAGUGCAACCCUGAGGACGCUAGUUGAUAUAAUAUUUCAUGGACCAUUAACUUGAA